AGCGAGCAGAUAGAUGUCAGGAUUCUCUCAAGAGUAUCUUACCAAGUUCCUUCAAUAACUCCGCAUGAUGGCGAUUUCUGCAUCAUUAUUUUAGGUUGGGAAAUUGAAGCUCCGGGAAAUUAAAUCCCUUGCUCAGAUCAGCACAAUUUAUAAAGUGGCAGACCAGGUUUCACAGCCUGCUUUCUCUACCGAUUGUCAAAUAAAAAUUUACAGAAACAACUCAGCUUUCAGCCAGGUCUACCAGGAAGAGAAUGAGUAAGAAGAGUCCAGCUGAGACACACAAUAGCAAGCAGAGGCAGACUGUCCUUGUAGGAAGAAGAUAUAGUGCAGGUAAAGGCCUGUCCAGCAUCAUUGAUUGGGCUCCACCUCCUGAAUGAUGCUUCUGCCAUAUGGGGCUGCAUUGGAACAGACAAUCUGGAGUUCUUUAUGACUUACAGCGUGACAUUUUAGCUGAUCUUCCUGAACUGCUGAGUAGAGCAAGAGCAUUUCUAUUACAGCCUCUUUUCCUCUGUGGUGUUCUACCAACAGGUUCUACUUUGGAAUAACAACCUGCCGAUCCCUGCUCUGCAGCAGCCCCUGCUGGCAAGAGACACAUCUCUGAUAUGCCUGGGCUUUCUCAGCUGUGCCUGUCAAACCUGGUCCUUCAUCCCCAGGGAGCCAUGCCUCAGUCUAGCCACAAGUGACCAUAGUCUAGCCAGGAGUGACUUAACAGUCAGAAGAUCCUGGAGCCAGGCUGUGUGCCAUCUGCAGGGUAGCAGCUGCACAUUGUUACCAGGAUGGAAGGAGAAUGCCAGAUGAAUGAGGAAGUUCAGCACGACUUUUUGUUUGUUUCUCCAA